ensembl:lncRNA
UUCAAGCAUGUUGAAAUGUGUCUAGCUUCAGACACUUGACUGGUUACUCGCCGCAGCAGUUUCUGGAUGAAAGGUGUCGAGCUCGUCAAGUACUAAGCUUUACACCCCCAGCAGCAAAUUUACCCUGGCAGCAUAUGGGUGAAAACGCUGGAGGAGAAAGUCAUCGCUCUGUAAUUGGCCCUUGGACUCCCCUGGCAUCUCGUGUACAGCAUGAAGUUUUCAGCUAUGAAGGUAUAUUUUAGGCCUAUGUCUUAGUGUCCAGUGUUUUAAAAGUAUUGAAAAUAGUGCCUUUAGGUGUUUUUUUUUUUUUUUU